GUUCUGUAAGCCUGUGAAGGUGUACUGUGAGGUAUGCUGGAGGUAUCAGAAGUGCGAAUGCUGACAUAAGUAACGAUAAAGCGGGUGAAAAGCCCGCUCGCCGGAAGACCAAGGGUUCCUGUCCAACGUUAAUCGGGGCAGGGUGAGUCGACCCCUAAGGCGAGGCCGAAAGGCGUAGUCGAUGGGAAACAGGUUAAUAUUCCUGUACUUGGUGUUACUGCGAAGGGGGGACGGAGAAGGCUAUGUUGGCCGGGCGACGGUUGUCCCGGUUUAAGCGUGUAGGCUGGUUUUCCAGGCAAAUCCGGAAAAUCAAGGCUGAGGCGUGAUGACGAGGCACUACGGUGCUGAAGCAACAAAUGCCCUGCUUCCAGGAAAAGCCUCUAAGCAUCAGGUAACAUCAAAUCGUACCCCAAACCGACACAGGUGGUCAGGUAGAGAAUACCAAGGCGCUUGAGAGAACUCGGGUGAAGGAACUAGGCAAAAUGGUGCCGUAACUUCGGGAGAAGGCACGCUGAUAUGUAGGUGAAGCGACUUGCUCGUGGAGCUGAAAUCAGUCGAAGAUACCAGCUGGCUGCAACUGUUUAUUAAAAACACAGCACUGUGCAAACACGAAAGUGGACGUAUACGGUGUGACGCCUGCCCGGUGCCGGAAGGUUAAUUGAUGGGGUCAGCGCAAGCGAAGCUCUUGAUCGAAGCCCCGGUAAACGGCGGCCGUAACUAUAACGGUCCUAAGGUAGCGAAAUUCCUUGUCGGGUAAGUUCCGACCUGCACGAAUGGCGUAAUGAUGGCCAGGCUGUCUCCACCCGAGACUCAGUGAAAUUGAACUCGCUGUGAAGAUGCAGUGUACCCGCGGCAAGACGGAAAGACCCCGUGAACCUUUACUAUAGCUUGACACUGAACAUUGAGCCUUGAUGUGUAGGAUAGGUGGGAGGCUUUGAAGUGUGGACGCCAGUCUGCAUGGAGCCGACCUUGAAAUACCACCCUUUAAUGUUUGAUGUUCUAACGUGGACCCGUGAUCCGGGUUGCGGACAGUGUCUGGUGGGUAGUUUGACUGGGGCGGUCUCCUCCUAAAGAGUAACGGAGGAGCACGAAGGUUGGCUAAUCCUGGUCGGACAUCAGGAGGUUAGUGCAAUGGCAUAAGCCAGCUUGACUGCGAGCGUGACGGCGCGAGCAGGUGCGAAAGCAGGUCAUAGUGAUCCGGUGGUUCUGAAUGGAAGGGCCAUCGCUCAACGGAUAAAAGGUACUCCGGGGAUAACAGGCUGAUACCGCCCAAGAGUUCAUAUCGACGGCGGUGUUUGGCACCUCGAUGUCGGCUCAUCACAUCCUGGGGCUGAAGUAGGUCCCAAGGGUAUGGCUGUUCGCCAUUUAAAGUGGUACGCGAGCUGGGUUUAGAACGUCGUGAGACAGUUCGGUCCCUAUCUGCCGUGGGCGCUGGAGAACUGAGGGGGGCUGCUCCUAGUACGAGAGGACCGGAGUGGACGCAUCACUGGUGUUCGGGUUGUCAUGCCAAUGGCACUGCCCGGUAGCUAAAUGCGGAAGAGAUAAGUGCUGAAAGCAUCUAAGCACGAAACUUGC
rnacentral:rRNA from 1 species